CCAACGUGGAUACCCCGGGAGGUCACUCUCCCCGGGCUCUGUCCAGGUGGCGUAGGGAAGCACAGGGCUCUGCCCCUUGAUGAACAGUCCUUUUCCACAACGUUGGAGAUGAAGCCGGGCCUUGAGUCUGAGCCUGCAUGCUCUUACAGCUUCUCAGAGUCCUGUGGACAAUGACCGGGGAGAAAGACUAUGCAGGAAUCAGCU
ensembl:snoRNA SNORA73 Small nucleolar RNA SNORA73 family